AAGAAGUUAGUUAAAAGAUAAUAUUAGAUUGUCAGUCUAAAGUCAUUAAUUUACUUUAAUAUUUCUUU
rnacentral:tRNA from 1 species